rnacentral:rRNA from 1 species
GAUGAACGCUGGCGGCGUGCCUAACACAUGCAAGUCGAGCGAUCUUCUUCGGAAGAGAGCGGCGGACGGGUGAGUAACGCAUGGGUAACCUGCCCUGUACACACGGAUAACAUACCGAAAGGUAUGCUAAUACGGGAUAAUAUAUGAGAGUCACAUGACUUUUAUAUCAAAGUUUUUGCGGUACAGGAUGGACCCGCGUCUGAUUAGCUAGUUGGUAAGGUAACGGCUUACCAAGGCGACGAUCAGUAGCCGACCUGAGAGGGUGAUCGGCCACCCUGGAACUGAGACAAGGUCCAGACUCCUACGGGAGGCAGCAGUGGGGAAUAUUGCACAAUGGGCGAAAGCCUGAUGCAGCAACGCCGCGUGAGCGAUGAAGGCCUUCGGGUCGUAAAGCUCUGUCCUCAAGGAAGAUAAUGACGGUACUUGAGGAGGAAGCCCCGGCUAACUACGUGCCAGCCGCCGCCGUAA